rnacentral:rRNA from 1 species
AAUGGCCGCAGUAUUUUGACUGUGCAAAGGUAGCAUAAUCAUUAGUUUCCUAAUUAGAAACUGGAAUGAAAGGUUGGACGAGAAAAUAACUGUCUCUUUAUAAAUUUUUUAGAAUUUUAUUUUUAAGUUAAAAAGCUUAAAUUUUUUUAAAAGACGAGAAGACCCUAUAGAGUUUUAUAUAUAUAUAUAUAAUAAUUUAGAUUGGAUAUUUAAAAUUUUAAAUAUGAAUAUAUUUAAUUGGGGUGAUUAAAAAAUUUAAAAAACUUUUUUUUUAUAUAAACAUUAAUAUAUGAUUUAUUGAUCCAUAAAUUAUGAUUAAAAGAUUAAAUUACCUUAGGGAUAACAGCGUAAUUUCUUUGUAGAGUUCUAAUCGAUAGAGAAGUUUGCGACCUCGAUGUUGGAUUAAAAUUAAGUUCUGGUGUAGAAGCUAGGAUAUUAGGUCUGUUCGACCUUUAAAAUUUUACAUGAUCUGAGUUUAAACCGGUGUGAGCCAGGUUGGUUUCUAUCUUUAAAAAAAUAAAAUAUUUUAGUACGAAAGGACCAAAUAUCUAUAAUAAUUAU